CCUACGGGAGGCAGCAGUGGGGAAUAUUGCACAAUGGGGGAAACCCUGAUGCAGCGACGCCGCGUGAGUGAAGAAGUAUUUCGGUAUGUAAAGCUCUAUCAGCAGGAACGAGACAAGACGGUACCUGACUAAGAAGCCCCGGCUAACUACGUGCCAGCAGCCGCGGUAAUACGUAGGGGGCAAGCGUUAUCCGGAAUCACUGGGUGGAAAGGGAGCGUAGACGGCUGAGCAAGCCUGAAGUGAAAGGCGGGGGCCCAACCCCUGGACUGCUUUGGGAACUGUACGGCUGGAGUGCAGGAGAGGUAAGUGGAAUUCCUAGUGUAGCGGUGAAAUGCGUAGAUAUUAGGAGGAACACCAGUGGCGAAGGCGGCUUACUGGACUGUAACUGACGUUGAGGCUCGAAAGCGUGGGGAGCAAACAGGAUUAGAUACCCCUGUAGUC
rnacentral:rRNA from 1 species